rnacentral:rRNA from 1 species
UAUUGCACAAUGGGGGAAACUCUGAUGCAGCGACGCCGCGUGCGUGAGGACGUAUUUCGGUAUGUAAAGCUCUAUCAGCAGGGAAGAAAAUGACGGUAACUGACUAAGAAGCCCCGGCUAACUACGUCCCAGCAGCCGCGGUAAUACGUAGGGGGCAAGCGUUAUCCGGAUUUACUGGGUGUAAAGGGAGCGUAGACGGCUGUGCAAGCCAGAGGUGAAAGCCCGGGGCUCAACCCCGGGACUGCAUUUGGAACUGUGUGGCUGGAGUGUCGGAGAGGCAGGCGGAAUUCCUAGUGUAGCGGUGAAAUGCGUAGAUAUUAGGAGGAACACCAGUGGCGAAGGCGGCCUGCUGGACGAUGACUGACGUUGAGGCUCGAAAGCGUGGGGAGCAAACAGG